UUGGUCAUUUAGAGGAAGUAAAAGUCGUAACAAGGUCUCCGUUGGUGAACCAGCGGAGGGAUCAUUACCGAGUUUACAACUCCCAAACCCCUGUGAACAUACCUAUACGUUGCCUCGGCGGAUCAGCCCGCGCCCCGUAAAACGGGACGGCCCGCCCGAGGACCCCUAAACUCUGUUUUUAGUGGAACUUCUGAGUAAAGCAAACAAAUAAAUCAAAACUUUCAACAACGGAUCUCUUGGUUCUGGCAUCGAUGAAGAACGCAGCAAAAUGCGAUAAGUAAUGUGAAUUGCAGAAUUCAGUGAAUCAUCGAAUCUUUGAACGCACAUUGCGCCCGCCAGUAUUCUGGCGGGCAUGCCUGUUCGAGCGUCAUUUCAACCCUCAAGCUCAGCUUGGUGUUGGGACUCGCGGUAACCCGCGUUCCCCAAAUCGAUUGGCGGUCACGUCGAGCUUCCAUAGCGUAGUAAUCAUACACCUCGUUACUGGUAAUCGUCGCGGCCACGCCGUAAAACCCCAACUUCUGAAUGUUGACCUCGGAUCAGGUAGGAAUACCCGCUGAACUUAAGCAUAUCAAUAAG
rnacentral:rRNA from 1 species